GCAUAUCAAUAAGCGGAGGAAAAGAAACCAACAGGGAUUGCCCUAGUAACGGCGAGUGAAGCGGCAACAGCUCAAAUUUGAAAUCUGGCGUCUUUGGCGUCCGAGUUGUAAUUUGCAGAGGGCGCUUUGGCAUUGGCAGCGGUCCAAGUUCCUUGGAACAGGACGUCACAGAGGGUGAGAAUCCCGUACGUGGUCGCUAGCCUUUACCGUGUAAAGCCCCUUCGACGAGUCGAGUUGUUUGGGAAUGCAGCUCUAAAUGGGAGGUAAAUUUCUUCUAAAGCUAAAUACUGGCCAGAGACCGAUAGCGCACAAGUAGAGUGAUCGAAAGAUGAAAAGCACUUUGGAAAGAGAGUUAAAAAGCACGUGAAAUUGUUGAAAGGGAAGCGCUUGCAGCCAGACUUGCCUGUAGUUGCUCAUCCGGGUUUUUACCCGGUGCACUCUUCUAUAGGCAGGCCAGCAUCAGUUUGGGCGGUUGGAUAAAGGUCUCUGUCAUGUACCUCUCUUCGGGGAGAACUUAUAGGGGAGACGACAUGCAACCAGCCUGGACUGAGGUCCGCGCAUCUGCUAGGAUGCUGGCGUAAUGGCUGUAAGCGGCCCGUCUUGAAACACGGACCAAGGAGUCUAACAUCUAUGCGAGUGUUUGGGUGUCAAGCCCGAACGCGUAAUGAAAGUGAACGGAGGUGGGAACCUUUCGGGGUGCACCAUCGACCGAUCCUGAUGUCUUCGGAUGGAUUUGAGUAAGAGCAUAGCUGUUGGGACCCGAAAGAUGGUGAACUAUGCUUGAAUAGGGUGAAGCCAGAGGAAACUCUGGUGGAGGCUCGCAGCGGUUCUGACGUGCAAAUCGAUCGUCAAAUUUGGGCAUAGGGGCGAAAGACUAAUCGAACUAUCUAGUAGCUGGGUUCCUGCCGA
rnacentral:rRNA from 1 species